UGGGGAAUAUUGCACAAUGGGCGCAAGCCUGAUGCAGCCAUGCCGCGUGUAUGAAGAAGGCCUUCGGGUUGUAAAGUACUUUCAGCGGGGAGGAAGGCGAUAAGGUUAAUAACCUUGUCGAUUGACGUUACCCGCAGAAGAAGCACCGGCUAACUCCGUGCCAGCAGCCGCGGUAAUACGGAGGGUGCAAGCGUUAAUCGGAAUUACUGGGCGUAAAGCGCACGCAGGCGGGCUGUCAAGUCGGAUGUGAAAGCCCCGGGCUCAACCUGGGAACUGCAUUCGAAACUGGCAGGCUAGAGUCUUGUAGAGGGGGGUAGAAUUCCAGGUGUAGCGGUGAAAUGCGUAGAGAUCUGGAGGAAUACCGGUGGCGAAGGCGGCCCCCUGGACAAAGACUGACGCUCAGGUGCGAAAGCGUGGGGAGCAAACA
rnacentral:rRNA from 1 species